GACAUAGGUCGCAAACGUUAUCCGGAAUUAUUGGGCGUAAAGGAUGCGUAGAUGGUUCAGUAAGUUACUGGUGGGAAAUCGAGGCCCAACCUCGUGGAAGUUAGUAAUACUGUUGAACUUGAGUGCAGGAGAGGUUAACGGAACUUCAUGUGGAGCGGUAAAAUGCGUAGACAUAUGAAAGAACAUCAAUAUAGCGAAGGCAGUUAACUAUUCUGCUACUGACAUUGAGGCAUGAAGGCGUGGGGAGCAAAACGG
rnacentral:rRNA from 1 species